AUUGAACGCUGGCGGCAGGCUUAACACAUGCAAGUCGAGCGGUAACAGAGAGAAGCUUGCUUCUCUGCUGACGAGCGGCGGACGGGUGAGUAAUGCCUAGGAAUCUGCCUAGUAGUGGGGGAUAACUUGCCGAAAAGUAAGCUAAUACCGCAUACGUCCUACGGGAGAAAGGAGGGGACCUUCGGGCCUUUCGCUAUUAGAUGAGCCUAGGUCGGAUUAGUUAGUUGGUGAGGUAAUGGCUCACCAAGACCGCGAUCCGUAACUGGUCUGAGAGGAUGAUCAGUCACACUGGAACUGAGACACGGUCCAGACUCCUACGGGAGGCAGCAGUGGGGAAUAUUGGACAAUGGGGGGAACCCUGAUCCAGCCAUGCCGCGUGUGUGAAGAAGGUCUUAGGAUUGUAAAGCACUUUAAGUUGGGAGGAAGAGCAGUUAACUAAUAUUUGACUGUUUUGACGUUACCGACAGAAUAAGCACCGGCUAACUUCGUG
rnacentral:rRNA from 1 species